CACACAGCGGAGUGACCUGCUUUCUCCAUCCUAACGCAGGAGGAGAGCCCGUAGACUGCCCUGCUUUUGCACUCCCUCUUUCUCCACUUGCUCUGUCUCAGCAUGCACAAAGCUCUCUAUAAAAAGAGUUUAAAAAACAGAAAAGAACAAGGACAUACCUGCACCAUGCGAGGGGAACCCUUCUCUGAUGAGCGCUUACGGACGCCCCCCCCACCUCCCGUUUUCUUGUUUUUAAGAGGAAGCAUAUUGAAAGAGAUUCAGCGUUGGAGGAGGCAGAAGAAGAGGAGGGGAAAGAGGGUGAAGGAGGUGUUGCUGCAGCACCGAGACCACAGCGCCAGGCGGACCGCAUGGGGAAACCCGGGAGCUGUCCAGCAGCAAUGGAGACAACAAUUAUUACAAACAACAGAGAGAUGGAAAUGAGGUGACUUGUGUGCUUGGACAGACCCCGCAGAAGCCCGUGGAGCCUCCACAUGUGUGCAGGGGAAAACAUCCCAUUUUUUGGAUUUCACUGAGAGACGCAGCCAGCCAGCCAGACGAACCGGCCCACCCCACCCUACAUUUCUUCUCCAUCAUCCCGAGAAAGGACCAAAAAGAUGAAUGAAAGGAAAGAAAUGUGACAUAAAAACCCAGGAGAGACACAGAGAGGGAUCAUCGGCACCCAGCAAGACGGGAGGAGGAGGCCUGACG